rnacentral:rRNA from 1 species
UACAGAGGGUGCAAGCGUUGUUCGGAAUUAUUGGGCGUAAAGGGAGUGUAGGCGGUUUGUUAAGUCUUCUGUGAAAUCUACGGGCUUAGCCUGUAACGUGCAGAGGAAACUAGCAGACUCGAGUGUCGGAGAGGAUAGGGGAAUACCCAGUGUAGAGGUGAAAUGCGCAGAUAUCAGGAGGAACACCGAUGGCGAAGGCAGGUCUCUGGGCCACUACUGACGCUGAGAAGGCGAAAAGCAUGGGGAGCGAACAGG